CGGGAAUUCUCGCUCCUGGCCUGGGUGUUUUAGCUCACUUGGAAAGGCUAGAGACCCAAGUGAGCAGAUCCCGUAAACAGUCUGAAGAGCUGCAGAGUGUGCAGGCCCAGGAAGGUGCUCUUGGAACCAAGAUUCAUAAACUAAGGCGUUUGCGAGAUGAGCUGAGGGCUGCGGUGCGGCACCGGCGAGCCAGCGUGAAAGCAUGUAUUGCCAAUGUAGAACCCAACCAAACAGUGGAGAUCAAUGAGCAGGAAGCACUGGAAGAGAAAUUGGGAAAUGUGAAAGCCAUUCUGCAGGCAUAUCAUUUUACAGAAACCACUCCGGAUACAUCACCAUUCAGUCCCAGUCUUCAUUCCUCUGGAAGAGAUAGCUGCAAAAUAUUUACAGACCAACAUCCAGCACUUCCUGUUCAGUCUCUGCGAGUACCUGAAUGCUUACUCUGGGAGGAAGUACCAGGCAGACCGGCUUCAGAGUGACUUUGCAGCCCUCCUGACUGGGCCCUUGCAGAGAAACCCACUGUGUAACUUGCUGUCAUUUACUUACAAACUGGAUCCAGGGGGUCAGUCCUUCCCGUUCUGUGCUAGAUUGCUGUAUAAGGACCUCACAGCAACUCUUCCCACUGACGUCACCGUGACAUGUCAAGGAGUGGAAGCAUUAUCCACUUCGUGGGAGGAACAACGAGCAUCUCAUGAAACUCUGUUCUGUACGAAGCCCUUGCAUCAAGUGUUUGCCUCAUUUGCAAGAAAAGGAGAAAAGUUGGA
rnacentral:sRNA from 1 species